rnacentral:miRNA from 1 species
UGUACGUGUGUGUGUGUGUGUGUGUGUGUGUGUGUCUCUCUCUCUCUCUCUAUAUAUAUAUAUACACACACACACACAAACACAAACACAAACACACACAUACA